AUCAGCCCUGGGGUUCAGAGGGAUCCUGACGGCUACUCCUCAAGAUCCUCUCUGUUGUGAUUCAUCCCCCCCAGGCCCUACAGUUUCUCCUUCCUGACUCUUACAUUUCUUUGGAUGGCAUCACUAUUCUUCCUUUGCAGCUAGGUGUGGCCAUGUGAUAAAGUUGUAGCUAAUGAUACAUUGUGUGAAACUGCCAGAGAGCCUUCCCGCCCCGCCCGCGCCCCCCCUGAGACGGAGUCUUUCUCUGCCACCCAGGCUGGAGUGCAGUGGUGUGAUCUCAGCUCACUGCAACCCCUGCCUCCUGGAUUCAAGCAAUUCUCCUGCCUCAGCCUCCCAAGUAGCUGGGAUUGCAGUACCUGUCUCCUCCCAUAGUUAGUUGCCAAGCACUGUGGAUUCUACCCCUCAGGGUCCAGACACCCAUUUUCCUUCCCACUGUUCCCUCCCCAUGGAGAAGCCUGUGGCUGACUGACAGCUCAACUUGGAGAAGGUGUUACCUGGGCCAGGUGGGGAAGGUAGGGUUGUUUGCAGAGCAAAGAAGUGAAGCCUAUUCAAUGUGAAAAAGAUGAGGGCGAAGACCUUUAUGAUGAUCCAAGUAAUGAACACACUGGAGAAAGUCAAACAGUCAAAACAAUGUCCCAGACUCCGUGAAGUUCCUGGGUAGAGAAGUAGACAGACGUACAC
rnacentral:antisense_RNA from 1 species